rnacentral:rRNA from 1 species
GUGUCAGCAGCCGCGGUAAUACGUAGGGGGCUAGCGUUGUCCGGAUUUAUUGGGCGUAAAGAGCGUGUAGGCGGCCAGGUAGGUCCGCUGUGAAAGUCCGAGGCUCAACCUCGGAAUGUCGGCGGAAACCCUCUGGCUAGAGUCCGGAAGAGGAGAGUGGAAUUCCCGGUGUAGCGGUGAAAUGCGCAGAUAUCGGGAAGAACACCCGUGGCGAAGGCGGCUCUCUGGAACGGUACUGACGCUGAGACGCGAAAGCGUGGGGAGCGAACAGGAUUAGAUACCCUCGUAGUCC